UGAGUAGACCGGGUGAUCGCGGGUACAUUGCCGCCAGGCAGUACGCGAGGAAAGUCCGAGCUCCACAGGGCAGGGUGCUGGGUAACUCCCAGUGAGGGUGACCUCAAGGAAAGUGCCACAGAGACAUACCGCCGGUUUCCGGUCAGGGUGAAAAGGUGCGGUAAGAGCGCACCAGCGGUCAGGUGACUGACUGGCUAGGCAAACCCCACUCGGAGCAAGACCGAAUAGGAGAGGUAUGACGCGGCCCGCCGACCUCUCGGGUUUGGUCGCUGGAGAGGCAGGGCAACCUGUCUCCUAGAUAGAUGAUCACCCAAGACAGAACUCGGCUUAUAGGUCUACUCAGGUG
rnacentral:RNase_P_RNA from 1 species